AGGAUGAACGCUGGCGGCGUGCUUAACACAUGCAAGUCGAACGGUGAAGGAGAGCUUGCUCUCCGGAUCAGUGGCGAACGGGUGAGUAACACGUGAGCAAUCUGCCCCUGACUCUGGGAUAAGCGUUGGAAACGACGUCUAAUACCGGAUACGAGCUGCGAAGGCAUCUUCAGCAGCUGGAAAGAACUUCGGUCAGGGAUGAGCUCGCGGCCUAUCAGCUAGUUGGUGAGGUAAUGGCUCACCGAAGGCGUCGGACGGGUAGCCGGCCUGAGGAGGGUCGACCGGCCACACGUGGGACUGAGACACGGCCCAGACCUCCGUACGGGAGGCAGCAGGUGGGGAAUAUUGCACGAAGUGGGACGCAAGCCUGAUGCAGCAACGCCGCGUGAGGACGCGGUCCGUUCGGUUACGUAACCUUCGUUUAGACGAGGAAGAGA
rnacentral:rRNA from 1 species